GACAGAGGGGGCAAGCGUUGCUCGGAAUUACUGGGCGUAAAGGGCUCGUAGGCGGCCAACUAAGUCAGACGUGAAAUCCCUCGGCUUAACCGGGGAACUGCAUCUGAUACUGGAUGGCUAGAGAUUGGGAGAGGGAUGCGGAAUUCCAGGUGUAGCGGUGAAAUGCGUAGAUAUUCGCAAGAACACCAGUGGCGAAGGCGGCUCACUGGCCCGAUACUGACGCUGAGGCACGAAAGCGUGGGGAGCAAACAGG
rnacentral:rRNA from 1 species